rnacentral:lncRNA from 1 species
CCAGAGAUCUCACAAGCUGGCACCAUCAAAGAAAGCAAGUCAGCAAAGUAAUCAGAAUAAAUCUCCAAAUAGUAUCCCACAAAUAAAGUGGAAUACCAAGCAAGCUAUCUCUUCAAGAGUCAUGUGAGCCCUCACAAAAACUCAAUAAACAAGUUAGAAUAACAAGAUGGGGUGCAGUCAAGAGUUGCACCAAACAGAAGAAUCAUAGCAACAACAGUGUCAGGUAAACAAUGCACGGAUGCAAUAG